rnacentral:rRNA from 1 species
UGGGGAAUAUUGCACAAUGGGCGAAAGCCUGAUGCAGCGACGCCGCGUGGGGGAUGAAGGCCUUCGGGUUGUAAACCCCUUUCAGCAGGGAAGAAGCGAAAGUGACGGUACCUGCAGAAGAAGCGCCGGCUAACUACGUGCCAGCAGCCGCGGUAAUACGUAGGGCGCAAGCGUUGUCCGGAUUUAUUGGGCGUAAAGAGCUCGUAGGCGGUUUGUCGCGUCUGCUGUGAAAACCCGAGGCUCAACCUCGGGCCUGCAGUGGGUACGGGCAGACUAGAGUGCGGUAGGGGAGACUGGAAUUCCUGGUGUAGCGGUGGAAUGCGCAGAUAUCAGGAGGAACACCGAUGGCGAAGGCAGGUCUCUGGGCCGCAACUGACGCUGAGGAGCGAAAGCAUGGGGAGCGAA